UCUUUGAGGCACUUUUUCAGGGCACUGCUACCACACACUCCAUAUUUGUUAACAUGCUUUUAAUGAAUCAACUCGCAAUGAAUCAGCUGGCAAUCUCCAACACAUUCUUCAGCACUGUGAGUUGAGUACCUCUUCAGAAUGUUCCCUGAUUCUUCCAGGAAGAAAUAAAUGAGAUAUUUUUAUGUCAUCUUCAUGUUGUAACCAGACAUACAGAUGAAUUAUUUAUACUCAUCGCUGUGUUUGAAUCAGUGGAGAAGUCACCUACUAAAUCACCUCCUCAGAGGACAGAGUGUUGGUUAUGUGGUAUGGAAUGGAGC